rnacentral:rRNA from 1 species
UACGUAGGGGGCAAGCGUUGUCCGGAAUCAUUGGGCGUAAAGCGCGUGUAGGCGGCCCGGUAAGUCCGCUGUGAAAGUCGGGGGCUCAACCCUCGGAUGCCGGUGGAUACUGUCGGGCUCGAGUGCGGAAGAGGCGAGUGGAAUUCCUGGUGUAGCGGUGAAAUGCGCAGAUAUCAGGAGGAACACCAAUUGCGAAGGCAGCUCGCUGGGACGUUACUGACGCUGAGACGGCGAAAGCGUGGGGAGCAAACAGG